GUAGUUAGCCCAGAUCUGGAACUAGGCGGUAGGUAGCCCAGAUCUGGGACUAGGCUAGGCGGUAGUUAGCCCAGAUCUGGGACUAGGCUAGGUGGUAGUUAGCCCAGAUCUGGGACUAGGCUAGGCGGUAGUUAGCCCAGAUCUGGAACUAGAUGGUAGUUAGCCCAGAUCUGGGACUAGGCUAGGUGGUAGUUAGCCCAGAUCUGGGACUAGGCUAGGUAGUAGUUAGCCCAGAUCUGGGACUAGGCGGUAGUUAGCCCAGAUCUGGAACUAGGCGGUAGGUAGCCCAGAUCUGGGACUAGGCUAGGUAGUAGUUAGCCCAGAUCUGGGACUAGGCUAGGUAGUAGUUAGCCCAGAUCUGGGACUAGGCUAGGUAGUAGUUAGCCCAGAUCUGGGACUAGGCUAGGUAGUAGUUAGCCCAGAUUUGGGACUAGGCAAGGUAGUAGUUAGCCCAGAUCUGGGACUAGGCUAGGUGGUAGUUAGCCCAGAUCUGGGACUAGGCUAGGUGGUAGUUAGCCCAGAUCUGGGACUAGGUUAGGUGGUAGUUAACUCGCUGCUCCAUCUGUGAUGGUUGAUACGGCUCCCUGGACUUUGUUGACAUCACUGAUGCAAGCCCACUGGCCGUCCGCUGACUCCUUCCAC
ensembl:lncRNA